rnacentral:rRNA from 1 species
GACGAACGCUGGCGGCGUGCCUAAUACAUGCAAGUAGAACGCUGAAGGAGGAGCUUGCUUCUCUGGAUGAGUUGCGAACGGGUGAGUAACGCGUAGGUAACCUGCCUGGUAGCGGGGGAUAACUAUUGGAAACGAUAGCUAAUACCGCAUAAGAGUAGAUGUCGCAUGACAUUUGCUUAAAAGGUGCAAUUGCAUCACUACCAGAUGGACCUGCGUUGUAUUAGCUAGUUGGUGAGGUAACGGCUCACCAAGGCAACGAUACAUAGCCGACCUGAGAGGGUGAUCGGCCACACUGGGACUGAGACACGGCCCAGACUCCUACGGGAGGCAGCAGUAGGGAAUCUUCGGCAAUGGACGGAAGUCUGACCGAGCAACGCCGCGCGAGUGAAGAAGGUUUUCGGAUCGUAAAGCUCUGUUGUAAGAGAAGAACGAGUGUGAGAGUGGAAAGUUCACACUGUGACGGUAUCUUACCAGAAAGGGACGGCUAACUACGUG